rnacentral:tRNA from 1 species
GGAGAGGUGCCGGAGCGGUCGAACGGGCUCGCCUGGAGAGCGAGUGUUCGCCAAAAGCGAACCCAGGGUUCGAAUCCCUGCCUCUCCG